rnacentral:lncRNA from 1 species
CUGACCUUCACUCAGGUUUCUGUCCAGCUUAUCUUCAGAAGCCCACAUGUUUUCACAACAGAAAGUACAGACUCUGUCAUCUUCGGCAAGUUGGGGAAGGAUGUUGAAUGGACCAUCUACUUCUGAGAGGCGAAGCCCCAGACCCAUCUGGAUGGGAGAGGCCGAGAUUGAGUGGGCAGUAAAGAACAAGCUUCCAACGUCUCUAAUGUGGACUACUGCAUUGCUCUUAACCAGUUUCUCUACGUCCUCGACUGUCCCUUCCAAUCCAUUCUUUACACAACUGCCAGAAGAGCCAAAAUGGAUCAAAUCACCACCCUUCUUAAAUCUUUUCUUUG